CAGCAGCCGCGGAAAUACGUAGGUGGCAAGCGUUGUCCGGAAUUAUUGGGCGUAAAGGGCUCGCAGGCGGUUUCUUAAGUCUGAUGUGAAAGCCCCCGGCUCAACCGGGGAGGGUCAUUGGAAACUGGGAAACUUGAGUGCAGAAGAGGAGAGUGGAAUUCCACGUGUAGCGGUGAAAUGCGUAGAGAUGUGGAGGAACACCAGUGGCGAAGGCGACUCUCUGGUCGGUAACUGACGCUGAGGAGCGAAAGCGUGGGGAGCGAACAGGAUUAGAUACCCCCGUAGUCCCUGUCUCUUAUAC
rnacentral:rRNA from 1 species